GGGAAUAUUGCACAAUGGGCGACAGCCUGAUGCAGCAACGCCGCGUGCGCGAUGAAGGCCUUCGGGUCGUAAAGCGCUUUUCGGGGAGAUGAGGAAGGACAGUAUCCCCGGAAUAAGUCUCGGCUAACUACGUGCCAGCAGCCGCGGUAACACGUAGGAGGCAAGCGUUAUCCGAAUUUACUGGGCGUAAAGCGCGUGCAGGCGGUUCGGUAAGUUGGAUGUGAAAUCUCCCGGCUCAACUGGGAGAGGUCGUUCAAUACUGUCGGACUAGAGGAUGGUAGAGGGAGGUGGAAUUCCCGGUGUAGUGGUGAAAUGCGUAGAUAUCGGGAGGAACACCAGUGGCGAAGGCGGCCUCCUGGACCAUUCCUGACGCUCAGACGCGAAAGCUAGGGGAGCGAACGG
rnacentral:rRNA from 1 species